rnacentral:rRNA from 1 species
UACGUAGGGGGCAAGCGUUGUCCGGAAUCAUUGGGCGUAAAGCGCGUGUAGGCGGUUCGGUAAGUCUGCUGUGAAAGUCCAGGGCUCAACCCUGGGAUGCCGGUGGAUACUGUCGGACUAGAGUACGGAAGAGGUGAGUGGAACUCCUGGUGUAGCGGUGAAAUGCGCAGAUAUCAGGAAGAACACCAAUGGCGAAGGCAGCUCACUGGGACGGUACUGACGCUGAGACGCGAAAGCGUGGGGAGCAAACAGG